rnacentral:lncRNA from 1 species
GCGAUGACAAGGCAAUUGUGCUAUGGAGCUGCGGACUUGGUCGCCUAGCAAGCUGCUUGAUGAACUCUUUGAAGAAUGCUGAAUGGAGUCGAACAAGACCCAAGUCCUUGAAAAAUGAACAGAAGAAGGCUCUUGAAAAAUGCAGUUGGCAUAUGCUUCUUCUUCUUCUUCUUCUUCGGGUCUUCUGAUGUUGGACGCUUAAAUCAUCCCACAAGUCCUUGGAUGUCAUACUUUGACGCGCCAUAAGAUAAAAAAUCUAGAGUUGUAAGAAUCAAUCUAGGAAACCAAGUUGAAGCAAGUCAACCAAAAAAGGACCAGCGAUAAUGCAAGCAAACUAUCCUGGAACUACGCCAUCAAAUAGCUGAUUUUCAGGUGCACGCAGCAGAAAAGCUUUGUGCUGAAUUUGCGUACUAAGUGUAAGUGAGGCCUUUAACCAAACAGCUGGCGGGCAAGCAAAAAUCUGCACCAUUUGGAUCUCACGGGAACAGUUGUAUGCUGGUAGGAUAAAGACACGGCGAGCCGGUAAAGUGGUACUACUUGAGUUUACAACUAAGAUGCUAGAGAAAUGGCAAAGAGCUUGGAGAUUGGUUAAGGCCUUCCAUCAAACAAGUAGCAAGCCAAACUGUUGUGUGGAGUGGAACCAAAUUGCUUGGACGCUGGGUGAGAGCAUCCACCGAACAGAUUGAAGACAGAUGAAAAAAUGUUGGAUUGAAGCCGGAUAAAUUCAGGAACUAGAAGAAAUCAGACCCCUGAAAAAGAUCGGAUGCAGGCUCUCGGUUGGAGGGAACAGAAGCUGA